GACGAACGCUGGCGGCGUGCUUAACACAUGCAAGUCGUACGGUAAGGCCCUUUCGGGGGUACACGAGUGGCGAGCGGGUGAGUAACACGUGAGUAACCUGCCCACAACUUUGGGAUAACGCUAGGAAACUGGUGCUAAUACUGGAUAUGUGCUCCUGCUGCAUGGUGGGGGUUGGAAAGCUCCGGCGGUUGUGGAUGGACUCGCGGCCUAUCAGCUUGUUGGUGGGGUAGUGGCCUACCAAGGCGGCGACGGGUAGCCGGACUGAGAGGGUGACCCGCCACAUUGGGUCUUAGAUACGGCCCAGACUGCUACGGGUGGCCGCAGUGGGGAAGCUUGCACAAUGGGCGCCAGCCGUGUGCAGCAACGCCGCGUGCGGUAUGACGGCCUUCGGUGUGUAGACCGCUUUCAGCAGAGACGAUUCUUGUUGUGACGUUACCUGCAGAAUAAGCACCGGCUAACUACGUG
rnacentral:rRNA from 1 species